GGAAUUGACGGGGCCCGCACAAGCGGUGGAGCAUGUGGUUAAUUCGACGCAACGCGAAGAACCUUACCAGGGCUUGACAUCCCCUGACCGCGUAUGAAAGUACGUUUUCACCUCGGGUGACAGGGAGACAGGUGGUGCAUGGUUGUCGUCAGCUCGUGUCGUGAGAUGUUGGGUUAAGUCCCGCAACGAGCGCAACCCCUACGUUUAGUUGCUAACGCGUGAAGGCGAGCACUCUAGACGAACUGCCGUUGACAAAACGGAGGAAGGUGGGGAUGACGUCAAAUCAUCAUGCCCCUUAUGUUCUGGGCUACACACGUGCUACAAUGGCCGGUACAAACGGAAGCGAAGCCGCGAGGUGAAGCAAAUCUGAUAAAACCGGUCUCAGUUCGGAUUGGAGUCUGCAACUCGACUCCAUGAAGCUGGAAUCGCUAGUAAUCGCGGAUCAGCCAUGCCGCGGUGAAUACGUUCCCGGGUCUU
rnacentral:rRNA from 1 species